rnacentral:lncRNA from 1 species
CCACUCUCCACCACUGUGAAUGAUCAGUUCGUAUACUUAACUGCAGAGGUGCCUUGUUUUAAGCAAAAUUAAACUUCCUGCACUCCUAUUAUGAGCCUGGCACUGUGGUGAAAAGCUGUUCCCUCUUGUCCGUGACCAAGUGA